rnacentral:rRNA from 1 species
UCGAGGAUCUUCGGCAAUGGGGGCAACCCUGACCGAGCGACGCCGCGUGGACGACGAAGGCCUUCGGGUUGUAAAGUCCAAAGGUACCAAGGAAGACUGACUGAGGUACAGUAAGCACGGGCUAAGUUCGUGCCAGCAGCCGCGGUAAGACGAACCGUGCAAACGUUGUUCGGAAUCACUGGGCUUAAAGGGCGCGUAGGCGGGUCGGCACGUCUGAGGGUGAAAGACCACAGCUCAACUGUGGCCGGG